ACCUUCGUCUUUCUCAAGAAU
rnacentral:tRNA from 1 species